UACGUAGGGUGCAAGCGUUUGUCCGGAAUUAUUGGGCGUAAAGAGCUCGUAGGCGGUCCGUCACGUCGGCUGUGAAAACCUGGGGCUCAACCCCGGGCCUGCAGCCGAUACGGGCGGACUAGAAUUCGGUAGGGGAGACUGGAAUUCCUGGUGUAGCGGUGAAAUGCGCAGAUAUCAGGAGGAACACCGGUGGCGAAGGCGGGUCUCUGGGCCCGAUAUUGACGCUGAGGAGCGAAAGCGUGGGGAGCGAACAGG
rnacentral:rRNA from 1 species